rnacentral:rRNA from 2 species
CACGUAGGGUGCGAGCGUUGUCCGGAAUUAUUUGGCGUAAAGAGCUCGUAGGCGGUGUGUCGCGUCGGCCGUGAAAACUUGGGGCUUAACUCUGAGCGUGCGGUCGAUACGGGCAUCACUUGAGUUCGGCAGGGGAGACUGGAAUUCCUGGUGUAGCGGUGAAAUGCGCAGAUAUCAGGAGGAACACCGGUGGCGAAUGCGGGUCUCUGGGCCGAUACUGACGCUGAGGAGCGAAAGCGUGGGGAGCGAA